UUAAAUUGAAGAGUUUGAUCAUGGCUCAGAUUGAACGCUGGCGGCAGGCCUAACACAUGCAAGUCGAACGGUAACAGGAAGCAGCUUGCUGCUUCGCUGACGAGUGGCGGACGGGUGAGUAAUGUCUGGGAAACUGCCUGAUGGAGGGGGAUAACUACUGGAAACGGUGGCUAAUACCGCAUAACGUCGCAAGACCAAAGAGGGGGACCUUCGGGCCUCUUGCCAUCAGAUGUGCCCAGAUGGGAUUAGCUAGUUGGUGAGGUAACGGCUCACCAAGGCGACGAUCCCUAGCUGGUCUGAGAGGAUGACCAGCCACACUGGAACUGAGACACGGUCCAGACUCCUACGGGAGGCAGCAGUGGGGAAUAUUGCACAAUGGGCGCAAGCCUGAUGCAGCCAUGCCGCGUGUAUGAAGAAGGCCUUCGGGUUGUAAAGUACUUUCAGCGGGGAGGAAGGUGUUGUGGUUAAUAACCGCAGCAAUUGACGUUACCCGCAGAAGAAGCACCGGCUAACUCCGUGCCAGCAGCCGCGGUAAUACGGAGGGUGCAAGCGUUAAUCGGAAUUACUGGGCGUAAAGCGCACGCAGGCGGUCUGUCAAGUCGGAUGUGAAAUCCCCGGGCUCAACCUGGGAACUGCAUUCGAAACUGGCAGGCUUGAGUCUUGUAGAGGGGGGUAGAAUUCCAGGUGUAGCGGUGAAAUGCGUAGAGAUCUGGAGGAAUACCGGUGGCGAAGGCGGCCCCCUGGACAAAGACUGACGCUCAGGUGCGAAAGCGUGGGGAGCAAACAGGAUUAGAUACCCUGGUAGUCCACGCCGUAAACGAUGUCUACUUGGAGGUUGUGCCCUUGAGGCGUGGCUUCCGGAGCUAACGCGUUAAGUAGACCGCCUGGGGAGUACGGCCGCAAGGUUAAAACUCAAAUGAAUUGACGGGGGCCCGCACAAGCGGUGGAGCAUGUGGUUUAAUUCGAUGCAACGCGAAGAACCUUACCUGGUCUUGACAUCCACAGAAGAAUCCAGAGAUGGAUUGGUGCCUUCGGGAACUGUGAGACAGGUGCUGCAUGGCUGUCGUCAGCUCGUGUUGUGAAAUGUUGGGUUAAGUCCCGCAACGAGCGCAACCCUUAUCCUUUGUUGCCAGCGAUUAGGUCGGGAACUCAAAGGAGACUGCCAGUGAUAAACUGGAGGAAGGUGGGGAUGACGUCAAGUCAUCAUGGCCCUUACGACCAGGGCUACACACGUGCUACAAUGGCGCAUACAAAGAGAAGCGACCUCGCGAGAGCAAGCGGACCUCAUAAAGUGCGUCGUAGUCCGGAUUGGAGUCUGCAACUCGACUCCAUGAAGUCGGAAUCGCUAGUAAUCGUGGAUCAGAAUGCCACGGUGAAUACGUUCCCGGGCCUUGUACACACCGCCCGUCACACCAUGGGAGUGGGUUGCAAAAGAAGUAGGUAGCUUAACCUUCGGGAGGGCGCUUACCACUUUGUGAUUCAUGACUGGGGUGAAGUCGUAACAAGGUAACCGUAGGGGAACCUGCGGUUGGAUCACCUCCUUACCUUAAAGAAGC
rnacentral:rRNA from 2 species